GAAUUGCUAGUAAUCGCGGAUCAGCAUGCCGCGGUGAAUACGUUCCCGGGCCUUGUACACACCGCCCGUCACACCAUGGGAGCCGGUAAUACCCGAAGUCAGUAGUCCAACCUCGUGAGGACGCUGCCGAAGGUAGGAUUGGCGACUGGGGUGAAGUCGUAACAAGGUAAC
rnacentral:rRNA from 1 species